rnacentral:rRNA from 1 species
GAGUUUGAUCCUGGCUCAGAGCGAACGCUGGCGGCAGGCUUAACACAUGCAAGUCGAGCGGCCGUAGCAAUACGGCAGCGGCAGACGGGAGAGUAACACGUGGGAACGUGCCUAUCAGUUCGGAACAACCCAGGGAAACUUGGGCUAAUACCGGAUACGCCCUUACGGGGAAAGAUUUAUCGCUGAUAGAGCGGCCCGCGUCUGAUUAGCCUGUUGGUGAGGUAACGGCUCACCAAGGCGACGAUCAGUAGCUGGUCUGAGAGGAUGAUCAGCCUCACUGGGACUGAGACACGGCCCAGACUCCUACGGGAGGCAGCAGUGGGGAAUAUUGGACAAUGGGCGCAAGCCUGAUCCAGCCAUGCCGCGUGGAUGAUGAAGGCCCUAGGGUUGUAAAGUCCUUUCGGCGGGGAAGAUAAUGACGGUACCCGCAGAAGAAGCCCCGGCUAACUUCGUGCCAGCAGCCGCCGCGGUAAG